CCGUCAUGUGGAGCGGACGUCACACGCCUGCACUGUAACCCAAGAAGUGAAAGAGACGGGGACCCACGGCCCAACUUCGCACCGUAACAAAGACGGGGGUGCUCGCUGCCCUCCACCAUGUGCUCCAGGUAGGACACGCACAUUGUGGUGGCAGGCGCAGCUGCAGCUGGGAAGCAGGAGGCUCCUCUGAACAUGGAGAGAUAAGACCUUGUCCUGCGGGCCUGCCUGACAGAGAGCCCUGCCACCCUGGCUGAGCUUGCCUGUGUCCUUGAGAUGGAUCGUCACCAGGAGGCCGAGAUGGAGCUGCGCAGGGGCCCCGAGGUGGCCGGGGAUAAGGCCCUGAGCCACAGCUGCUGCAUUUGCGGCAAAAGCUUUCCCUUCCAGAGCUCCCUGUCGCAGCACAUGCGCAAGCACACGGGUGAGAAGCCCUACAAGUGCCCCUACUGUGACCACAGGGCUUCCCAGAAGGGCAACCUCAAGAUCCACAUUCGCAGCCACCGCACGGGGACUCUGAUCCAGGGCCACGAGCCCGAGGCCGGCGAGACGCGUGUGUCCGAGGGCCUGGACGGCUGCACCAGCCCCACGAAAAGCACUUCGGCCUGCAACAGGAUCCUGAAUGGCGCCACGCAGCUGGACAACAGCAAGAUCCUGCUGAGGAGCAGCAGGAAGGAGGCGGAGGGGGCCGCGUGCUCUGCGGAGGACGGCGGCGCAGCGGCUCAGUGCUCCUUCUGCAAGAGCAAGUUCGAGCGCAAGAAGGACCUGGAGCGUCACGUGCACCGGGCACACAAGCCCUUUAAGUGCCGGCUGUGCAGCUACGUGACGCUGAGGGAGGAGUCGCUGCUGAGCCACAUCGAGAAGGACCACAUCACCGCGCAGGUGCCCAGUGGGGAGGCCUGCGUGGUGAACGGCAAGCCGGAGCUGCCGCCUGGGGAGUUCCCGUGCGAGGUGUGCGGCCAGGCCUUUAGCCAGACCUGGUUCCUGAAGGCGCACAUGAAGAAGCACAGGGGCUCCUUCGACCACGGCUGCCACAUCUGUGGCCGGAGGUUCAAAGAGCCGUGGUUCCUGAAAAACCACAUGAAGGCGCAUGGCCCCAAGGCGGGGAGCAAGAACAGGCCCAAGAGCGAGCUGGACCCCAUCGCCACCAUCAACAACGUGGUGCAGGAGGAGGCCAUCGUGGCCGGCCUGGCCCUCUAUGAAGUCUGCACCAAGUGCGGGAACCUGUUUACAAACCUGGACAGCUUGAAUGCCCACAACGCAGUCCACCGCAGGGUGGAGGCGGGCAGAACUCGGGCCCUGAGCGGGGAGGGCGAACUCGGCCCUGCGGACUCCCAGCAGCUCUUCCUCCAGUGCCUGAACUUGUGCCCCGUUGGGACCGGUGCACCAGCCCACGGACAGACCGGGCAGCGGGUGGCCGAGCUGGACCCGGUCAACAGCUACCAGGCCUGGCAGCUGGCCACCCGGGGCAAGGUGGUCGAGCCGGCCGAGUACCUCAAGUACGGGACGUGGGACGAGGCACUGGCUGGGGAUGUGGCCUUUGACAAGGAGCGGCGCGAGUACAUCCUGGUGAGCCAGGAGAAGCGCAAGCGUGAGCUGGAGCCUGGUGCGCAGGGCCCCCCACGAAAGAGGGCAGGCGCACCAGGGGACCUUGCACCCGGGUCCCUGGACCCUAGGCCCGCCUCACGCCCCAGCCGCCGGGCUACCACCCCAGCCGGCCAAGGCAAGUCCUCUGAGUGCUUCGAGUGCGGCAAGAUCUUCCGCACCUACCACCAGAUGGUGCUGCACUCUCGGGUGCACCGCCGCGCCCGCAGGGAACAGGAGGGCACAGGGGACCGCGUGCCCCGCACCCGCUGCGGCUCACUCAGCGAGGGCGAUUCGGUCUCACAGCCCAGCAGCCCUGGAUCAGCCUGCGCAGCCACUGACUCCCCAGGCUCUGGCCUGGCAGAGGAGGGUGCUGAUGAGAGCGGAGAGGAGGGUGCCGCAGACCCUGCACCAGGGGCAAAGCCACACAGCCGCCGCUUUUCCGAAGACGUGGCUCAGCUCCUGCUCUCCAAUGGAGGCCAGAGUCACAGCCUUGGACGCACCCUGCCAGGACAGGACCCCGGCGGGCCCCGCGCGGAAACGGCAGCCCCCGUGUCCGCACGUGAGGACCGCAGCAGGGAGACCUCCAGGAGACCGGAGCUGCCUCGGUUUUCUGUGGACUUGAAGAUGCCUGCGUGCCACCCCAAGCAGGAGGUCUGCGGCUUUAGGGACGCCGUAGACUUCCCUUCGAAUGCAGGUCAGGCUUUUCCAGAAGGCGCGGCCCUGCAGCUAUCCUCGGAGAGCCCGGCUGGCCACCCCAAAGAGAAGCCCUGUGACCUGCACAAUAAGGAGCAUUCUGGGGGCAGGAGGGCGCUGGCCCCAGACCUGAUCCCGCUGGACCUGAGCGAGAGGUCGACCCGGGACGACCCCAGCCACAAGGAGCUGGCCUCCUCGCUGCAGGCGGCGCUGGCCGUGUACCCGUGUCCCUACUGCAGCCACAAGACCUACUACCCCGAGGUGCUGUGGAUGCACAAGCGGAUCUGGCACCGCGUCAGCUGCAGCUCCAUGGCCCCCCAGUGGACGCAGCCCAACGGCUACAAGAGCAUCAGAAACAACUUGGUUUUCCUCGUCCGGAGUGGACGCACAGGCCCCCCGCCUGCCCUUGGGGGCAAAGACUGCCAGCCUCUGCCCAUUGCUAGGUUCACGCGCACCCAGGUCCCGGGUGGCGCUCCAGGGCCCAAAGGCAGCUCCUUGCCCCUGGGUGGGACCCCAAAGGCCACCGGCAUGCCUAAGAGCCGGGAGGGCCAUCUGGGGGGCCCCUGCGCUCUCUGGGCAGCUGGCUCCGAGGGGCCUCGGCAGACCAAACCAGGCCAUGGCCCAGAGCAGCACAGCGCCCUGGCCCAGCCACCUCCACCCAGGCCGAAGCAGGAGGCCGGCCCCAGACCCGGGCCUGCGGCGGGUGGUGGCUUUAGCAGAAGUGCCACCCCCACACCCACUGUCAUUGCCCGGGUGGGCUCCCAGCCCCCGGCCACCAGCAGGCUGGGGGACAAGCAUGUCAUUGCCCCUCUGGGGGCUGGCCUGGGCCCCCCAAAUAAGCACAGUGCCCCGGACCCACCGAAAGCCAAAUUGAGCCCUCAGCCUCAGGGUCAGCUGCAGGUGAAAGACGACGGGGGCCCUGCUCUACCUCCCCGAGAGCCCCCCUCCAAGGCCAGCCAGGGCUCCAGAGGGAACACAGCCCCGCAGGCCCAGCCCACCCCGCAGGCCGUCAAGCAGGAGCCGGCGCCCGAGGGCCAUGAGAAGCGUCUAGACAUCCUCAAUAUCUUUAAGACCUACAUUCCAAAGGACUUGGCCACGCUCUGCCAGAGCUGGGGGGCCAGCGGCCCUGCGCCCGAGCACAGAGCUUGAGAGACACGUGACUGAUCAUACAGGUAUUAGCAUGAAAGGGUUGUUGGGUCGAGAACCGAAGUUUUGUUCAACAGCCGAGACAUUUUCCCCGUGAACAACUUGGUCGAGAACCGAAUUGUUCAAGAUGGGAGACAUUCGAGAACCGAGGUUUGACUGUAUAUAAUUAAAAAAUAUAUAUAUAUAUCUCUAUACAUCAGUGUGCCAGCAUUAGUAAGCAAAGCCUCUGUAGACUAGAAAUGUUCCAUGUAAAGUUUGGGGAAUGGACUUUCGCUAGUUCUGGAAAAAAUAUUCCUUAAAUGCCCGUUUCCUUCCCUGCCAGUCCCUCAGUGUGGACACCUAGCAGUAAUAACAAGGAAUCGCCAGCAGGUUUUCACGUGCCCCAUUGGGUAUGAUGCCCUUGAUCGUCAGUUGAAGGUCACGCUCACUGCGCACCAAGCACCCUGGGAAAUCUGAGUGUUUCCCGUGUAAAACCACCCAGACAAACCCAGCCCUGUGGAGUCUGUCCCUGAGUUCUCACCUUGGGCGGUCCUCACCGGCUUGGACAGAAGUGUCCAUCUGGCACCUGCACUUUCUCUUUUUACACCUGCACUUUCUUAAAGCAGAUUCCUGAGUACUGUGACCUUUGAGAACUGGCCCCUCAGCACCCAUUAAGCUGGAAGCACUUUGGGGGAUGGGGCUCAGGGUUGGUGAGGUCAUGUCAGCAGAGAGGCACCCCGAAUCCACUGUGUGAUGGUGCUGGGCAGACACGUGCCAGUUUAAGUUCCUGCUCUUCUCCUGUGACUUUGGGACCAGCCCCGGUCCACAGGCACCUGAGCCACCUCGGUCUGGCCGGUGAUGCUUUACUUCACGUUGACCCUUAGAGAAAACAUGGGGUGUUUCUCGACUAGGUGAAAACUAGGGCGUUGCACAGCCUUGGAGACUGUCUGGUGGAGCUUGCAUUGCAUUCAGCCUCGGCUCCCAUUCUGAAAAGUAUUGAGCCAUGUGGGUCCUGCUCACAUCACAGUCAGCACUCCCUGUGAACUUUGCGGAGUGGAGUCGAGGGCCUGGGCGCCCAGAGGAGUUGCGAGGCUUUAUGCUGAGUGUUCGUAAGAAGCAGUGAGACCCCGUGGGUCCUGGUUAAGGUUCUCACCCUGUCUCCUGGCAGAGGUGCUCUGUGCCCAACACGUGCCUGGGCAUAAGCCUCCUGGUAGGUGGUGAAACAGCGUCCACACAGCUCAGUGUUGCACUUUUUCCGGUCUCAGUUCCAUCGAGCGAGCUUGACACAGUCAGCCAUAGUUUCCACUCGUGCAGGUUAUUUGCUGUGUAAUGGAUCAGAAGUACACAGGUCAGACUUUGGGAUCUGAUACUGGCCUCAGUUCUUUAGAUACAAAUUUUCUUGGACCCGAAAGUGAGACGCUCUGGACCCAGGUGACAGGUGACAGUCGGCGGGUGCCGGCCCAGUCCUUCCCCUACUGCACCCUCACGGCGUGUGAGCGACACGUUUGCAGUGUUUCAGUGACCUCUGCCCCGUAACCCGACCUGCAGUUGAGUUAGUUCCAGCCCCACGGCUGCACGGGUGACCCAGACCCACACCAAUACACCACACCCACCCUCAGGUCUCCGGUGCUGCCCGGCGGCCUGCUUGUGGCUUUUAUUGUUUCCCCCCAAAAAAGAAGUGAGUUUGAAGUCAAGGUUUUAAGAAUUUCAAAUGACAGAGAUAGAAAUACAAAGGAGCUUGACAUAGUUUCCUUUCUCCUUAAAAUUUAAAAAUAUAAUUGGUCCUAAGGCUUAAAAAAAAAAGAAAUUAAGUAUUUACUUUUUAAAUGUGAAAAGUGCUCAACCUUCCGUGAAGCACCUGUGCUCUCCUGGACGAUCACCCUUCUCACAUUCACACUGACAUAGGCAGGACUGAGUGUUCCCCUUCGCUCUUACGGGGGUCGCUCAGGGGAGGUGUUUUCACCUCUUGAGUGCUUCUCCACUAACAAGUGCAGUUGUAGCAUCAGAGCUUCCUGAGCGUGGGGAGGGGCCGAGAUCCACUUCUGCAGGCUGCCAUGUGAGCAGCCGCGCGGUAAGGAGGGACCCGCCUCCCCCAGGUGACCUUUUCCUCUGCUGGGCCCUGGCCUCAACUCGGGGGCAGAUGAGAACCCGCCUGAACCCUUCCCAUGGUAGUGCGCCGCCUCCUGCCACGGCUCUCAGCCUCUCCUGGGGCCCCGCUCCCGCCCAAGCACCCUAAGCUGGACCGGUUCCCACAGUCUGACCUAUGUACUUCGCUGAUUCCUUUUCCUCCUUUGCAAGUGUGUUUAGGAAGCUCUGGAGGUGUUUGUUGCUGCAGAAGGCAGCCCAGAGCCUGGGUGUGGUCUGACUGAGAGGUGAGAGGUCCCUGGGGUGACCAGCGUGUGAAUGUCCUUGUUAGGGAGACUGCCUGUUGCUGCAGCUCGGGCAGGGGCGUCAUCAUAGACAUGUCGCUUCACGUGCCAGUAACCGCCCCUUCUGAGGUUUGCUGUCCACUGUGGCUGUGCCCGCUCCUCCUCGACCUUGUGGGCAGUGGACCCUUGCAUCCUGAAUCUGGGUUCUCUCCUAAUUCAUCUCGAGUCCAAAUCACGUUUAUUCUCUGAGUCUGUGGGCACUCUGGCUCUUAUUUUGUCGUCUGAUGCAUUCACUUUAUGUCUCCUCCUGGGGUGUCAUCUGCGAGUGAAGGUCACCCCUUGGCGUGCUGGCCAUCGAUUACACCUGUAGUGUCGCCUGCAGCCAGGGAAGAGAAAGCCUCGGGAGAGAAUCUUCCAGGGGAGGAGAACUGCAUUGUUGUGUCUGUGAUGCAGUUGGCGCUGCCAGUGAGAUUCUGUGAUUUUUUUUUUCAGUGACGUUUCCAUUCACACAGCACCUUGCUCUCAGGCGGGGUCUCGAAGACAUCAGGUGUUUUCAGGAGGGAAGAAAGUUCUCAGAGACCUUUCCCCACACAUGUUUCAGGUGGAAGAUGCUUGUGAAGAAAUGAUAGUCUGGAAGUGCUGCCAAAAGAGGAAGGCGUUAUGAGGAAGUGACGCUGUCCCUUCCCUUGGGCUCGCCGACUCACCUUUUACGAACGGAAAAAACAUUGUUCCACAGAGUGGCUGCCAAGUCUGGAAACGUGACUAUAACAUGAAUGGUUUCUUGAUAGAAUAGUAAUAAAAUAACAAAUCAUCUGUGUUUCCAGACUUGUGGCUAGCCAAUGGUAUAUGAUAGUAUGGGUUUUAGAAUAAAAAAACUAAAGCUAACGGGAAUGACAUAGUGCUGGAUAGAAUACUAUGUAAGGUCUUUCUUAUUGGCCCUUAAAAAUGAUCCCUUCUACCAGGGACGCAGUAAUAUGAUGAUUUGAAAGACUGUGCUUCCUUGGCCUGAAUCUUUCAGACAAGGGUGAGCAUCUGACGAGGGUUAGCGUCCCUGGAAGGCUGGCCAGGCCGCUUCCUCCCUUCUGACUCCACUUUGCACACCUCUGGUUUCGGGGUUAGAGUGUUAGCGCUGCCGCUCACCAGGUGGGCUUCAAUUCUAACGAAGUUCAUAACCUUUUGAUUAACUCAGAAUUUUGCAGUAGCUUUGGCAUAAUAAUAUUGACCACAAAGGGCAAGGGUCCUUUCUUUUACGAAGUAAAGAUAAAAUGCUCUGGCAGAAUGCGCAGGGAAGUGUGUGUGUGUGCGUGUGUGUAUGUGUGUGCACGUAUGCUGAUGCAUCCUUAAUUGAGGAUGUAAGAAUGGUGAGUAGAGUAGUAGUUUGGAUAGGAAGUAGCCAGCUGAGAGAUUUCCUCAGGGAAAAAGCGUUAUAAUGACUUGUGUUUGAAUGUGACUUCAGACACAAGUGCCGUGCUGUCUGUCACCAUCGUUAGCAGGUGUCUCGUGUAGGCAGGGACUGUGCAUGGGAAGCAGUCUGAUUGUACCUGGAAAAAUGGGACAGCCACGGUGGCCGUCAGAGGAGGUUUCCAUGGGAGCACCUCUGGGUGGUGGAAGGGAGUGGGGAACAGAGUGCUUUUUGAGCUGAGAGUUUCCUGGACCCAAAUAAGGAAGGAAAGGAGUCCCUGAACACAAAGCCAGCGGUGUAGCCAUUUUCACACUGGAUGUGUGUACUCAGACUCAGUGGAGACAUGGGGGUGUGGGUGCCAGCCCCUGCAGGAGGGCCUCACUCAGAAGGGACAGCCCUCCUGAGCUUUCCCUCCACCCAUGCGCUUGCUGAAAACUCUUGGGAAGAGGAGCCCGCGGGUGACAGCUGAAGUUGCUGAGUCAUGCUUUUCUUGUUGUACGUUGCACGGGCCCCUUGCCAACAUUAGUGAGUGGUUUUCCAUUAAUGACAGUGGGACAAGUGUUGGUUAUGAUGUGUCUUAUGCUUUUUGCGUUCCUGAACUGAGAACUGGGUGGGAAAGUUCUUGAAUUUCUCUGAGGCUCGGGUUAAUGACUUGUCAACGUGAAAAAUCAGACAGGUCUGCCUGCCGGUUCGUGCCUGUCUUUGCUUCUUCUCUCCAUGAACACUACCUGUAACGUAUCAACGAUUGUGUGUUGUUUUAUCUGUGGAGGCAUCUGAUUUGGGAAUCGUGACGUGGGUUCUGCUGAUUUGACUGAGACCCUUUCACGCUAAAAUAUCACACUUUCAGUCCAUAAACAGCUCACUGAGCUUCAUUUAAAAAUGUGUUGCUUCAGAGGUAACUCUAGUGAGUAGUUCCGUGUCUUGUUCCUCCAUUGAGUUGAGUUACCAUUGAGCUCAGGGAAGUCUCUGUGGAGCCACCAUGCUGUGAAAAUUAGCCUUUUCUUCAAGACACCGUAACAGGAAAGGUAUUCAGAUGAGUGAGCAUAUUGGCCUCCCUUUUCUGAGCAAAGCUGACUGCAUUUAGGAUCAGAAGGGAACUUGAGGCCAGUGCUUCGGCCCAGGGCCUCAUUCCCAGGUGUUCCCUGUGGGCUCCGUGGGGACAGCGUGGGACACACAGGUGCGGGCCCAGUGGGUGAGGUGUUGAUGGCUCGCCCCUGGCCCGUGGCCCAGCAUAUCGACCGGGGCCGGGGCCGGCCUUGCUGCCUCCGAGUUCUGGCGCCGGUCUGGCCACCCAUGUCACUCCGAUUUGCUUGGUGUGCCGCUGACAGAGCCAGAAGGCUGGGCGAGCAUCCAGCUGCUCGGAGCCGCACACCUGACAGCCGCCGGUUCGGGCUCAUCACGGGAGUGAGUUUAAUUCGCUGUAAUUCAUGCUCGCUCGGGGCCCUGCCUGUGCCUGGCUCUGUCAGAGGAGCCUCAAGGAAGGUAGCUCCCCUCAGGUCGCAUCAGACAGACUAAUGAUGGUUUCUUCUCCCCUUCCGCAUCUGCACCCCUUGGCCACUGCCACCCAGGGACGCCCCGGACGCAGGCCCGCCAAGGAGACUUCGUCUGUGUGGAGUGCGGGAAGUGCUUCCACCAGCCCAGCCACCUGCGGGCACACAUGAGGGCUCACUCAGUGGUGUUUGAGUCCAACGGCCUCCGAGGUGCUGACGUCCACGCCA